CGUAAACAAAGGGAAGCGAAGUGGUGACGCGGAGCGAACCCCAAAAAAUAACGUCCCAGUUCGGAUUGCAGUCUGCAACUCGACUGCAUGAAGCUGGAAUCGCUAGUAAUCGCGGAUCAGAAUGCCGCGGUGAAUACGUUCCCGGGUCUUGUACACACCGCCCGUCACACCAUGGGAGUCAGUAACGCCCGAAGUCAGUGACCGAACCGAGAGGACGGAGCUGCCGAAGGCGGGACGGAUAACUGGGGUGAAGUCGUAACAAGGUACC
rnacentral:rRNA from 1 species